rnacentral:rRNA from 1 species
GCCGUAGGGCGCGAGCGUUGUCCGGAUUUAUUGGGCGUAAAGAGCUCGUAGGCGGCUUGUUGCGUCGACUGUGAAAACCCGCGGCUUAACCGCGGGCUUGCAGUUGAUACGGGCAGGCUAGAGUUCGGUAGGGGAGACUGGAAUUCCUGGUGUAGCGGUGAAAUGCGCAGAUAUCAGGAGGAACACCGGUGGCGAAGGCGGGUCUCUGGGCCGAUACUGGCGCUGAGGAGCGAAAGCGUGGGGAGCGAACAGG